rnacentral:rRNA from 1 species
UACGAAGGUGGCAAGCGUUACUCGGAAUUACUAGGCGUAAAGGGCAGGUAGGUGGUCUGAUAAGUCUGUUGUGAAAGCUCCCGGCUUAACUGGGAGAGUCAACAGAAACUAUCAGGCUUGAGUAUAGGAGAGGGUACUGGAAUUCCGGUGUAGCGGUGAAAUGCGCAGAUAUCGGGAGGAACACCAAUGGCGAAAGCAGGUACCUGGACUA